CGGAAGAGAGGAAGAAGAAAAGAGGAAGAGAGGGAGUUAGGCUUGGAUUUAGGAGCCUCUACGACCGUUGUGAGCUCGGCUACAUAAUAGGGAAUUGUUGGUGGAACUUAUUGAGAAGUUAAGGAACUAGUCAAGUCCUAUUUUGUACAAGAGGAACCAUUUUAGUAUGAAAGGGUUGAGGUCCAGGCAAAGGAACCAGUGGUGGACGGGGAAAGGAGCAGAGGUAGGGGUUGUUUGUGAAUUCUAAAGAACUAUAACCCCUUUCUUUUGAGCAAAUCAAUUGUAAUGUAUUUAGGAUUAGAGUGCCAGAUAGGAUGUGAUUAUGUAUAUAUAUGUGUGUGAAUAUGUGUGGAUUGUAUGACUUGUGUAUGACUUUUUGUCUGCUUGUAGACUGUGGCUAGGAAACUUGGUUAUGGUGUGUGGUUUUGAUAGAUUUAUUUAGUAGAUCAAGUUUCUACUACAGAGAAAAUAUUUAUUUUGAUAUA